ACCCUCUCAGGGUCGCACCUGGAGAGUUUCCAUUACUCUACCAGUCUUGACUACGAGAGGGAGAGUCAAGCAGAGUCCUGUCCAUUCCAUUACUAGCUUGGGCAGUGGCUAGUGAAUGGCAGGCAAUCUGCUACAAGU
rnacentral:snoRNA from 1 species